AUUGACCGCUGGCGGCAGGCCUAACACAUGCAAGUCGCGCGAGCGGCGGACGGGUGAGUAAUGUAUGGGGACUGCCCGAUAGAGGGGGAUAACUACUGGAAACGGUGGCUAAUACCGCAUACUAUCGGAUAACCCAUAUGGGAUUAGCUAGUAGGUGGGGUAACGGCUCACCAAGGCGACGAUAUCUAGCUGGUCUGAGAGGAUGACCAGCCACACUGGAACGUAGACACGGCACAGACUCCCAGGGAGGCAGCAGUGGGGAAUAUUGCACAAUGGGCGCAAGCCUGAUGCAGCCAUGACGCGUGUAUGAAGAAGGCCUUAGGGUUGUAAAGUACUUUCAGCGGGGAGGCGUUACCCGCAGAAGAAGCACCGGCUAACUCCGUGCCAGCAGCCGCGGUAAUUC
rnacentral:rRNA from 1 species